rnacentral:snRNA from 1 species
AUACUUACCUGGACGGGGUCUAUGAGCGAUCAAGAAGGCUCAUGGCCUAGAUCAAUGGUUCACAUUGCACAUAGUGAGUGCGUUGAUCUAUCCUCUUUUUUGGGAGAGUGGAUGUCAUAAUUUGUGAUAGAGGGGGUACGCGUCUGCGCGGCCCCUGC